GACGAACGCUGGCGGCGUGCUUAACACAUGCAAGUCGAGCGGUAAGGCCCUUUCGGGGGUACACGAGCGGCGAACGGGUGAGUAACACGUGGGUGACCUGCCCUCAGCUCUGGGAUAAGCCUGGGAAACCGGGUCUAAUACCGGAUAUGACUCCAUGACGCAUGUUGUGAGGUGGAAAGCCUUGCGCGGCUGAGGAUGGGCCCGCGGCCUAUCAGCUUGUUGGUGGGGUGAUGGCCUACCAAGGCGACGACGGGUAGCCGGCCUGAGAGGGCGA
rnacentral:rRNA from 1 species